AUUGAACGCUGGCGGCAUGCUUUACACAUGCAAGUCGAACGGCAGCGCGGGCUUCUUCCUGGCGGCGAGUGGCGAACGGGCGAGUAAUGCAUCCGAACGUGCCCUGCAGUUGGGGAUAGGCCGGCUACAGCCGGAUUAAUACCGCAUACGAUCUUAUGGUGAAAGCGGGGGUCCGAAAGUCCUCGCCCGUUUUGCGCUGCCGUUGUCGGAUUAGCUAGUUGGUUGGGUAAAGGCUUACCAAGGCGACGAUCCGUAGCUGGUCUGAGAGGACGACCUGCCACACUGGGACUGAGACACGGCCCAGACUCCUACGGGAGGCAGCAGUGGGGAAUUUUGGACAAUGGGGGAAACCCUGAUCCAGCAAUGCCGCGUGAGGGAAGAAGGCCUUCGGAUUGUAAACCGCUUUUGUUCGGGAAGAAAUCAUGUGGGCUAAUACCCCGGGGGGAUGACGGUACCGGAAGAGAAAGCACCGGCUAACUACGUG
rnacentral:rRNA from 1 species